rnacentral:rRNA from 1 species
UACGUAGGGUGCGAGCGUUGUCCGGAAUUAUUGGGCGUAAAGAGCUCGUAGGCGGCUUGUCGCGUCGGAUGUGAAAGCCCGGGGCUUAACCCCCGGGUCUGCAUUCGAUACGGGCAGGCGUAGAGUCCGGAAGAGGAGAGUGGAAUUCCUGGUGUGAGCGGUGAAAUGCGCAGAUAUCAGGAAGAACACCCGUGGCUAAGGCGGCUCUCUAGUACGGUACUGACGCUGAGACGCGAAAGCGUGGGGAGCGAACAGG